rnacentral:RNase_P_RNA from 1 species
CUUUGGGGCCUGGCAGUCGCUCCAAGUUCUUUGAUCCCAAGGCGCGGUUAAACGCCGCGCCCGUUUUGAUAUUUGGAGAGGAAAGUCCGGACACCACAGGGCAGGAUGCUGCGUGAGGCUCACGCCAAGCGCAGGCGCCGCGUCUCAAAGCGCGGUGACGGCUCAGUGUAACAGAGAAUAUACCGCCUUACGUUGCUCGGCGAAAGUCGGGCAGUGUGGGGUAAGGGUGAAAAGGUGGGGUAAGAGCCCACCGCGUCCGUCGCGAGGCGGAUGGCAGGACAAACCCCUUCCGGUGCAAGGCAAAAUAGGCGGCUGGGCGGCUCGUCCCAUAGCCGCGGGUAUGCCGCAUCCCUACGUCGGGCAAGCGCCUGACCGGGGACUCGUCCGCAAGGACGUUGAGAGAAAUGACUGCCGAAGCGCCGCAAGGCGUGGCACAGAAUCCGGCUUACCGGCCCCAAAGCUAA